rnacentral:rRNA from 1 species
UGUCUAAGUACAUGCCGUACCAAGGCGAAACCGCGAAUGGCUCAUUAAAUCAGUUAUGGUUCCUUGGAUCGUACCCCAUUACUUGGAUAACUGUGGCAAUUCUAGAGCUAAUACAUGCAGCAGAGCUCCGACCUUCGGGGACGAGCGCUUUUAUUAGACCAAGACCAAUCGGGCCUCGUGUCCGUGAAACGUGGUGACUCUGUAUAACUUUGGGCUGAUCGCACGGGCUUGUCCCGGCGACGUAUCCUUCAAGUGUCGCCUUAUCAACUGUCGAUGGUAGGCUAUGCGCCUACCAUGGUCGUAACGGGUAACGGGGAAUCAGGGUUCGAUUCCGGAGAGGGCGCCUGAGAAACGGCGACCACAUCCAAGGAAGGCAGCAGGCGCGCAAAUUACCCACUCCCGGAACGGGGAGGUAGUGACGAAAAAUAACAAUACGGGACUCUUUUGAGACCCCGUAAUUGGAAUGAGUACACUCUAAAUCCUUUAACGAGGACCCACUAGAGGAAAAGUCAGGUGUCAGCACCCGCGGUAAUUCCUGUUCUAGUAGUGUAUAUUAAAGUUGUUGCGGUUAAAAAGCUCGUAGUUGGAUCUCAGUUCGAGUCGGGUGGUCCCCCACACGGGGGCUACUGCCUGUUCUCAACACAGCCGGUUUCUCUAGAUGAUCUUCACCGGUUGUCUUGGGUGACCGGCAAGUUUACUUUGAAAAAAUUAGAGUGCUCAAAGCAGGCGCGACGCCUGAAUAAUGUUGCAUGGAAUAAUGAAAUAGGACCUCGGUUCUAUUUUGUUGGUUUUCGGAACAAGAGGUAAUGAUUAAGAGGGACAGACGGGGGCAUUCGUACUGCGACGCUAGAGGUGAAAGGAAUUGACGGAGGGGCACCACCAGACGUGGAGCCUGCGGCUUAAUUUGACUCAACACGGAAAACUCACCCGGCCCGGACACAGGAAGGAUUGACAGAUUGAGAGCUCUUUCUUGAUUCUGUGGAAGUGGUGCAUGGCCGCUCUUAGUUGGUGGAUUGAUUUGUCUGGUUUAUUCCGAUAACGAACGAGACCCUAGCCUACUAAAUAGACGACCCGAUUCUUCUCGGUCGGGCGUUCUUCUUAGAGGGAUAAGUGGCGUUUAGCGCACGAGACGGGGCAAUAGCAGGUCAGUGAUGCCCUCAGAUGUCCGGGGCCGCACGCGCGCUACAUUGAAGGAAUCAGCGUGUGCUUUCCCUGUCCGACAGGACUGGGUAAUCCGUUGAACCUCCUUCGUGCUGGGGAUAGGAAAUUGUAAUUGUUUUCCUUGAACGAGGAACGCCUAGUAAGCGCGAGUCAUAAGCUCGUGCUGACUAUGUCCCUGCCCUUGUGCACACCGCCCGUCGCCACUACCGAUUGAAUGAUUUAGUGAGGACAUCAGACUGGCGCUCGGAYUGGCCUUCGGUCGGGCCGCGUGCCGGAAAGAUGUCCAAACUUGACCAUUUAGAGGAAGUGAAAGUCGUAACAAGUUUCC